GAUGAACGCUGGCGGCGUGCCUAAUACAUGCAAGUCGAGCGAACAGACGAGGAGCUUGCUCCUCUGACGUUAGCGGCGGACGGGUGAGUAACACGUGUAUAACCUACCUAUCAGACUGGUAUAACUUCGGGAAACCGGAGCUAAUACCGGAUAAUAUAUUGAACCGCAUGGUUCAAUAGUGAAAGACGGUUUUGCGGUCACUUCUAGAUGGAUCCGCGCCGCAUUAGCUAGUUGGUAAGGUAACGGCUUACCAAGGCAACGAUGCGUAGCCGACCUGAGAGGGUGAUCGGCCCCACUGGAACGGAGACACGGUCCAGACUCCUACGGGAGGCAGCAGUAGGGAAUCGUCCGCAAUGGGCGAAAGCCUGACGGAGCAACGCCGCGUGAGUGAUGAAGGUCUUCGGAUCGUAAAACUCUGUUAUUAGGGAAGAACAAAUGUGUAAGUAACUAUGCACGUCUUGACGGUACCUAAUCAGAAAGCCACGGCUAACUACGUG
rnacentral:rRNA from 1 species